UUAGUGGCGGUAGGAAUUAUGGUUUUAGAAGUUAAUUCUACAUAAAUUGUUGUAAGAGCUAUUUACAUUUGUAACUCUAUUUAUUCAUGUCUUAGAAAUGAAAAUUUCACUAUUUUGCCUCACUUAUUCUCUUAAAAACCUGUAUGAGCUAACAGCUGGGACUGAUGCCCUGAAAAGAGACCUGGUUAGGUAAGUGUAAAAUGGUCAUAUGCCUUAAGAACCAUCUGUCUGUCUAUAUGUGUCCCAAUUUGUGAUCCAAUUUGUAUGUCUGAUACUGCAAAUAUGGAAAACAGACUGUAUCUGGACUAAUUAGAGAAGGAAUAAUUUCCAUGAUGGAGUUCAGCAGCCUUCAGGAUGCAUUGGAUCUUAUAAGUGGCCACUAUACUGCCAACAGAAAUAAUCCUUCACCAUUCCAGCUUAAUGGACUCGAAUCAUUCUCUGUAUGUAUCAAUGCCUUACAGUAUUAUUCAGAUUGUAAGAAUGAACUUAUUGUACCACAAUUGUGGCACUCGAAAUGUUUCAGUUGUCGUCUAAGAAACAGCCUCUAAAGACAAAUGAAUAGAAGAACAGAAGUGUCUUAAAUUGCCUCAUUCAUCACUGCAUGUUGCAGCAUCUGCCAGUGGCAUCAGCUUUGCUAUUUGGAAGAUUGACAGUAACGUCUACAUCAGUCCAUCAACGAUUCGGAAUAUCACACGUUACACAAAGGGAGAAAAGCCUAUAUUAUUAUUUUAAGCGGCUGCUAUGCCUUAAAGCGGUAGAUGAGUAGCCCACUUACAUUGACCAUCCAACUUUUCUUGUUGAACAAGACUACUUAUUAUUACUUGGGGAGAAAGCCUCUAUUAUUUUAAGUGGCUAUAACUUUACUGACAGCAGAGUCAUGGAUUAUUUAUAAGAGAAUAAGAUGAGAGGUAGAUGACAAGACUUACAGAGAUUGAGUCUGAGGAUGGCAAAGCAUAAUCCAGAUCUGAUAAUGUGCAGGAAGCAACACGGAAUAGCCAUCGGACGGCUGUGCGAGAAGCAUGAGGGGUCGGUGUGUUGUGUGUGGAGGUCAAGGGAUUUCAGAUGCGUAUUACUGUAAAGAGUGCACUCAGCUGGAGAAAGACAGAGAUGGGUCUCCCAAAAUUGUCAAUUUGGGAAGUGCCAGAACAGACCUCUUCCAUGAACGUAAGAAGUACGGCUUCAAGAAAAGAUAGAUCAAACUUGUUUCAAGCCAGCUCUCGCCUUCUGUCUCGUAAACGACCUCAUGACUGAUUUAACUCGGGAGCAAAACCAGAGGAUGAAUAGUUUGAAGGGGGAAACUCGGAUAGAGGAAAAUUUCUCAACGAUGAGUUGGCCAAAAUUUAGGAGAGCGUGACGGCUCUCCAGAUAACGGAGUUAGCAUGGCGUUGGGGAAGUUUGUUGACGGCGAGAUUUCGGCGAGGCAAAAUGUGAUGCAAAGUCUCCGGUCGUCCGUGGAUUCAUUAGUGGUGAGUGCUGAUUUCUUGAGGACGAAGACGGCUACGAAGGUGGUGGAGAUAUUAAAUCCGGUGCAGAAUGUGCGGUUUUUGGCAGCGGCAACUCGGCUUCAGCUUAGGAUUGGGAGUUGGGGGUUGCAGACAGAAGGUGACAGACCAGAAACACAGAUUGAAUUGCCGUCUAACAAUUAGGUGAGGUUAGCUUUAGAAGGGGCAUGCAAAUAACAAAAAGGACAAAAGACUUAUUUUGGCCCCAGGUUUAAUGUAAAUACAAACUCUCAAUUACAAAAUUUCAAAAACCUAAAUACUUAUUUAUCAUCCAA